GACGAACGCUGGCGGCGUGCUUAACACAUGCAAGUCGAACGGAAAGGCCCUGCUUUUGUGGGGUGCUCGAGUGGCGAACGGGUGAGUAACACGUGAGUAACCUGCCCUUGACUUUGGGAUAACUUCAGGAAACUGGGGCUAAUACCGGAUAGGAGCUCCUGCUGCAUGGUGGGGGUUGGAAAGUUUCGGCGGUUGGGGAUGGACUCGCGGCUUAUCAGCUUGUUGGUGGGGUAGUGGCUUACCAAGGCUUUGACGGGUAGCCGGCCUGAGAGGGUGAACGGCCACAUGGGGACUGAGAUACGGACCAGACUGCUACGGGGGGCAGCAGGGGGGAAUAUUGCACAAUGGGCGGAAGCCUGAUGCAGCAACGCCGCGUGCGGGAUGACGGCCUUCGGGGUGUAAAACGCUUUCGCCUGUGACGCAGCGUGAGUGACGGUAGUGGGUAAAGAAGCACCGGCUAACUACGUG
rnacentral:rRNA from 1 species